rnacentral:rRNA from 1 species
CACUGUGGAAUUCGCCCUUAGAGUUUGAUCCUGGCUCAGGAUGAACGCUAGCGGGAGGCUUAACACAUGCAAGUCGAGGGGCAGCACGAGGUAGCAAUACUUUGGUGGCGACCGGCGCACGGGUGAGUAACACGUAUGCAACCUACCUUGUACUGGGGGAUAGCCCGGAGAAAUUCGGAUUAAUACCCCAUGACAAUAUUGAAAGGCAUCUUUUAAUAUUUAAAGUUUCGACGGUACGAGAUGGGCAUGCGCAACAUUAGCUAGUUGGUAGGGUAACGGCCUACCAAGGCUACGAUGUUUAGGGGACCUGAGAGGGUGAUCCCCCACACUGGUACUGAGACACGGACCAGACUCCUACGGGAGGCAGCAGUGAGGAAUAUUGGUCAAUGGGCGCAAGCCUGAACCAGCCAUCCCGCGUGCAGGAAGAAGGCGCUAUGCGUCGUAAACUGCUUUUCCAGGGGAAGAAAACCUGAUACGUGUAUCGGCUUGCCGGUACCCUGGGAAUAAGCAUCGGCUAAUCCGUGCCAGCAGCC